rnacentral:rRNA from 1 species
ACAUGCAAGUCGAGGGGAAACGACAUCGAAAGCUUGCUUUUGAUGGGCGUCGACCGGCGCACGGGUGAGUAACGCGUAUCCAACCUGCCCACCACUUGGGGAUAACCUUGCGAAAGUAAGACUAAUACCCAAUGAUAUCUCUAGAAGACAUCUGAAAGAGAUUAAAGAUUUACCGGUGAUGGAUGGGGAUGCGUCUGAUUAGCUUGUUGGCGGGGUAACGGCCCACCAAGGCGACGAUCAGUAGGGGUUCUGAGAGGAAGGUCCCCCACAUUGGAACUGAGACACGGUCCAAACUCCUACGGGAGGCAGCAGUGAGGAAUAUUGGUCAAUGGACGAGAGUCUGAACCAGCCAAGUAGCGUGCAGGAAGACGGCCCUAUGGGUUGUAAACUGCUUUUAUAAGGGAAUAAAGUGAGUCUCGUGAGACUUUUUGCAUGUACCUUAUGAAUAAGGACCGGCUAAUUCCGUGCCAGCAGCCGCGGUAAUACGGAAGGUCCGGGCGUUAUCCGGAUUUAUUGGGUUUAAAGGGAGCGUAGGCCGGAGAUUAAGCGUGUUGUGAAAUGUAGACGCUCAACGUCUGCACUGCAGCGCGAACUGGUCUUCUUGAGUACGCACAACGUGGGCGGAAUUCGUGGUGUAGCGGUGAAAUGCUUAGAUAUCACGAAGAACUCCGAUUGCGAAGGCAGCUCACGGGAGCGCAACUGACGCUGAAGCUCGAAAGUGCGGGUAUCGAACAGGAUUAGAUACCCUGGUAGUCCGCACGGUAAACGAUGGAUGCCCGCUGUUGGCCUGAAUAGGUCAGCGGCCAAGCGAAAGCAUUAAGCAUCCCACCUGGGGAGUACGCCGGCAACGGUGAAACUCAAAGGAAUUGACGGGGGCCCCACAAGCGGAGGAACAUGUGGUUUAAUUCGAUGAUACGCGAGGAACCUUACC